GGCCUAACACGUGCAAGUCGAGGGCGAGCACAAGGAGCAAUCUGAGGUGGCGACCGGCGCACGGGUGAAGUAACACGUAUGCAACCUGCCUGUAAGACGGGGAAUAACCCGUUGAAAGAACGGACUAAUACCGCAUAAUACUAAAUUACUGCAUGGUAAUUUAUUUAAACAUUUAUGGCUUACAGAUGGGCAUGCGCAUGAUUAGCUAGUUGGAGAGGUAACGGCUCCCCAAGGCAACGAUCAUUAGGGGUUCUGAGAGGAAGGUCCCCCACACUGGUACUGAGACACGGACCAGACUCCUACGGGAGGCAGCAGUGAGGAAUAUUGGUCAAUGGACGAGAGUCUGAACCAGCCAAGUCGCGUGCAGGAAGAAUGUCCCUAUGGAUUGUAAACUGCUUUUGCAGGGGAAUAAAGUGCAUCACGUGUGAUGUUUUGUAUGUACUCUGCGAAUAAGGAUCGGCUAACUCCGUGCCAGCAGCGGC
rnacentral:rRNA from 1 species